UACGUAGGGGGCAAGCGUUGUUCGGAAUUACUGGGCGUAAAGCGCGCGCAGGCGGUCUUCCAAGUCAGUGGUGAAAGCCUGGAGCUCAACUCCAGAACUGCCAUUGAAACUGUUAGACUUGAGUACGAGAGAGGUGAGUGGAAUUCCCAGUGUAGAGGUGAAAUUCGUAGAUAUUGGGAAGAACACCAGUGGCGAAGGCGGCUCACUGGACUGGUAUUGACGCUGAGGUGCGAAAGCGUGGGGAGCGAUCCGG
rnacentral:rRNA from 1 species